rnacentral:tRNA from 1 species
AAUUAUUUGGCUGAAUGUUCAAGUAGCUACCUUGAAAGUAGCCUAAAAAGGUUGAAUUCCUUUACUGAUUU